rnacentral:tRNA from 1 species
GGUGAGAUGGCUCAGCGGUUAAAAGCACUGACUGCCUUUCCAGAGUUCAUGAGUUCAAAUCUCAGUAUCCACA